CUGCCAUCAAUCAAUCUCUCCAACAAACAAAACUCCUUUCCUCUCAAUAAAAUAUUCAGUCCCAACUGAGAAUCCUUGAUCUUCAUCCAUCCUCUUGCUUGCUUCCCCCCACCAUCACCGUCAAAUCUUCCAGCUUUGAUGAAAAAGCAUCUUCAAAGUUCUCAGCUUUUCGAUCUCCAGCAGCUCCCACCUGCUCCCUCCAGAUCCCUAAUUCCUGCCCCUUGCCCCGGCCUCAGCAUUCCAAUCGCAAUGUCAAUGCGCCGGUGGACCUUGCUCAAGGUCAUCGUUCUCGGCGACAACGGGGUUGGGAAGGUAAAGUUCCCCUCUGUCUUCGACUCUCCAAGAUAAAGUUCAAUGCUUGUCGACAGGAUUUUCGAACAGUGGCUUUCACUCCCUGAGACUGAUUGCGAUGAUGAUGAUGAGGAUGAUAUAAUGGCUUUGUUGGAAGAGCUCGAACUGAUAAAGAAGGAAAGGGCAGAGGAGAAGAGGUAAGGCAAUUCACUUCAGGGACUUGUAAUGAAUCGAGUAGAUUUCAAAUUGGAAUAAAAAAAAUUUACAGGUUCCAACAGGGUACCCGGAACCUGUGGUAUAAUACAGGUUAUGGGUAGGUUCCGGUUCUAGGAUUCAACAGGGUAGGGUCCGGAUCCAAAAUCUUGGAACCGGUCCCUUACAGGGUAGGGUCCGGGUAUUGUGAAAAAAACAGGGUACCCGGAACCGAUCACCCCUAGUCACAGCGUUGUAUGUUGUCAAUGAGCCUUGUUUGCUUGAUGGUCCAAAAUGGGGUGCUGACAGGUUUAGUUCCCAAUCCUAGGAACAGAAGCUGAACAUUAUUUUUUAUUUUCGGUUCGGUUUGAAAUUGAGCUCUCUAGGAUAGAAAUCGAACCAAACUGACUAUUUUUGGUUCGGUUUUUGGGUCGGUUCGAUUUGAACCGAAUAACGGACAUCCCUAGCAAACAAUCCAAUCUGAGGCUCCCCUACUUGUAUCUUCUUGGGCUGCAAAAGGAUCUGAUCUAAGUGUGUCGGGUAAUGUAUGCCUUAGUGCUGCAUCGGGUUUGUUCUCUUGGUUUACUAGUGACUUGAGAAGAUUCCCAGUGGUUCUGUACUUUAAUGAGAAUGUAGAGGGCAUCAAUUCAUCGACAGUAACUGUUGAAUUUGGACGAGUUUGGGUUGCACAUGACAACUCAUGACAAGCAAAGAUCUUACAUGGACAACUCAUGGACGAGCAAAGAUCUUACAUGGAGGCCGCUUUCACCAAGGAAAGCUCAAUUUGGGCAAGUUUGGGUUGCACAACAUAGAUAUAUCUAUCUAGUGUAGGUCUUGAUUCCUUGAGCCCCCAUAGAGGGGAGGUGAGUCUGGGACAUUGCCCAGGCAUCAUGUCUUCAAGUGGUCUUCAGCUGAGCAAACCUUUUCGAUUAGAAUACACAAUAGUUGCAAAACCUAUUGAAACAAAAAUCUUCUGAAAGGCAUGAUAAUGAGAUACUUCAAUGGAAAGAAGAUGACUUUCAUAAUUUUUUUGAAAGAAAUCAUACUUCAGAUCAAAAUUGAAUACUCUUAUACUCAAUUUCAAAAAGAAAAGAAAAGAAAAGAAAAGAAAAAAACGUGGCUUUUGGGUUGGGUUCUGACCAUUCCAAGAUUUAGUCUGUUUCGGAUCUUUUGUUCCAGGGAUUAUAUUGUACAAUCCAAUUCUUUGAAGUUUCAUGUUCGACCUGAUCAUGUUAUCGAGGUAUUCUUUCCAAUCUCAUCAACCGAACAUGAUUGCACGUCUCUUGUGUGUACAUCAAAGAUUCUUUACUAGAUUUCAGUCCCAUUUGGUAUGCUGGAAUGAUAUGAAAAGGAAUCAAAUGGAAAUCCAUCAUUCUACUCCAUUUCCUUAUACAUGGAGAGAUACUUGUAUGUGUUAAAAAGAGCAUUUCAAUAGGAGGAAAUUUUUUUGACAACAUGAUGAAAUGGUCGUUCCUUCGAAAAACUUGUUAAGUCUCGUUUGCUACGUGGGUAUGAAAUGGAAUGAACAUUCCAUCCUUCCUCUACAUUUCCUUAUUUAGUGUCAUUUUUGUGAGUUGGAAAAGGCAUUCCUCAUAAUAACGUGUUUCUUCAAUUUGAUGGAACGGGCAUCCCUUGUGGAAAAAAAGAGAGUAAAUAAUAGUCUUUCCCUUGUUUCACCUCCUUUUUGUGCAAGUAUCAUAUAUUUGCUAUAAAUUUCAUAAAAAAAUAUAUAUAUAUAUACAUAAUUAUAUCUCGGUAAAUAAGACCAAUGUUCUCAUUGUAUUCCUUUAUAUUGUCAUGUAAUUAGACAAAAAAUCAUAGUUUUUCUCUAACAUUUUAAAUUAUUUUAUAAAAUGCAUUUUAUUUUAUUUUCGUAUACCAAAGUGGAUCUUUAUUUAGACAAGAGCGACGGGCAUACCACUAGAGUAUAUUUCUUUUUUUACUCAACACCUUUAAGCCCUAAAACAAUAUAUUUUAUGCCUUUACUGAGGUCAUGGAAACAUAAAAGUAAAAUUACCUUGACCUCAAAGAAUUUGACCCAAAAUUGAGCAUGUGUUCUCUCGUAAGGAUCGCUAGGCCACAAAGGAUAUUGUGGCCACUUCUCAUCUAGGUAUUCUAAGAUGACCACGGAUUUGCAGAUCGAUCGUCCACCAUGCACAAGCGCCGGAGUUAUCUUGUAUACUGGGCUAUAUUGUAAAAGCUGGGGACUCUUAUUGAGCAGAUAUUCAUUGAUGUACUCAAAGGGAAUGCCCUUGACUUGAGCUUCAAUGCCCAUAUUACCCUGGAAGUGAACGGCCUUGGCCACGCUCCAUAUAACUUCACUUCUUCGCCCAUUUCUUUUUAGACUAAUAGAUUCUCAGCUUGUUUAAUUAGGUUAUUACGUGAGGAGAGUAGUUUAUAGAGUUAACUGAUUUCAUGUUUGCUUGGAGAAGAAGCCAGAGGCUUGAAUUUUGUCAUUUGUUCAUAUUCUUUAGGUGUGUGAUUUUGAGUAAUUCAUAGAGUUAAUAGAGUCCAUAUUUGCUUGGACAAGCAGUCGACAGGCUUGACCUUUGUCA